rnacentral:rRNA from 1 species
UACGGAGGGAGCUAGCGUUGUUCGGAAUUACUGGGCGUAAAGCGCGCGUAGGCGGCUUUGUAAGUUAGAGGUGAAAGCCCGGGGCUCAACCCCGGAACUGCCUUUGAAACUGCUGGUCUGGAGGUCGAGAGAGGCGAGUGGAAUUCCGAGUGUAGAGGUGAAAUUCGUAGAUAUUCGGAGGAACACCAGUGGCGAAGGCGGCUCGCUGGCUCGAUACUGACGCUGAGGUGCGAAAGCGUGGGGAGCAAACAGG